UCAAUGGUUGACCUUUAUUACCGUGCAUUUUAACAAUGUUUUAUAUAGUUUUAUGGAUAAUUUGUUAAAGACUUAUUAAAUUUUAUUAGUGGUGUAUAAGAAUUUGUUAAGGUUGUAAGAUCUUUACUUCAGAGAUUAUGUUCUUUAGCGCAUUAUAAUGUAGCAAAUACAAUGUAUAAUGUGGAAUUUGAAUAAAGACUGAAAUUG
rnacentral:misc_RNA from 1 species